ACAGGGGGCUGACCUCUGUCUGUUAAAUGUGUAACUGUGUCUACACAUCAGGGGACUGACCUCAGUGUGUUGAAUAUGUAACUGUGUCUACACAUGAGGGGGUUGACCUCAGCGUGCCGAGAGGCCAAAAUGGAGAGAAAAUGAGGUUGCCCAGGUGUCUUUCCUGGUGGGCCCAGACUUUGGGGUUUCAGGACGGGUGAGAGGGAGUCGGGGCGGGCAGGACCCUGGCAUGAGUAGCAUGCUUCCGAAAGCUGGCUGGGAGAAACCUUGGGACCUCCUUGUCUAAACUAGACUCCUGGCCUGUGGAGGGGCAGGGGCCCCGCCUCCCUCAGCCCCUGCCGCCCGCUGUCUUUCUGGGUGGCUUGCACAUCCUGCUGCAGCCUUUCGAGGGCAACCCAGCAGGGAAACUGGAGCUGCAGGCAGGAGGCGCGGCCCGUUUCAUCCACCCGGGGAUGGGGCGAGCUACAGGUGUGGCCAUUGUUCCUGAGCACAGGUGGGGCUAAUGCGUCCUGACAGCCCAAGGAUGGGCCCCUGGCAGCCUCUGCGGCCUGGCCCGAGCCCCAGGGCAGCCCUCGUGGGCACCCAAAUUACAAAACGUCCUGUGAACUCUCUCCACGGUCCUGGUCUCUUCAUGUGUUUCCAACGCCGGCGGCUUGGACACACCUGGGAGCAGCUGUGGCCCAUUCACGGAGAGCUUUGGUGAAGGUCACCAUCCACAGGGACAGAGCAGGUAUUGUCAAGGAUGCCAGCCUAGCCUUUGUGCCCCGCCGGCUGCCCCAACCACAGGAAUUCCUCACACUCACCCUCAUUCACACCAGGAGGGUGCCCACUGCCGCUGGGGGCGGCAGCCACCCCCUCCCUCCCCAUGCUGUUUUCAGGCCGGAGGCUGGAGCCUCGGCCAAAGCAACCUCACCCACCAUUUUCCAAAACCUAAUUGCCAUGGCUGUGUCUGUGACGGGCACAGACCCAGGUGCCGGGCCUGCCAAGAAUCUCCCCGUGUGAAUACCUGCACAGGGCACCUCCUGUGGGAACCGGGAGUCACAUAGAGCCUGGCAUUUGUCCCCAGCCUGUCUUGUGACAUUAGGUAGAUCAAAGCCCCAUUGUAAAAAGUCAUGUUACCUCUGUUCAUCUGCUUGGAGGCUGUGUCCUGGGACGGCCCUUCCCUCGGCUCUGGCUCGGGGAGGGAGCUGACCGCCGAGACAGACAUGUGCUCACAUUUGGGCCCCAGCGUUCCUCCUGGAAGGAACCCCACCGAAAGUGAAAUUGCCUUUCAUGGGUCUGAGGCUGGGGCACACCCUGAGAAAGAAUGAGAAAGUGUGGGGCAGUACGGCUCCUCUCCAAAGCCUUCAGAGGAACAAGUUCCUACUUGGUUCUGCUAAGGAACAGCAAGAAGGCAGAGAAAAAUGUCACCAACACUGAAAUCCUGGAGGCUUCCUGAAUUGGCAAUGGGGGUGGGGAGCUGGCAGAGGCUGGGGAGGGGGCAGCCUCUGUCCAGCAGCCCCUUGGGUCAUGGCAGGGAGGGGGCGAUGGCAAAAGGUGAGAAGACACGAUGCUUUGACAAGAGUGAGUGGUGGGGCGGGAUCAGAUCCUUCCAGAGGGCACAGCUUGCCCUUGACUCCUAGCCUGGCCAUUGUGUGUCAGAUGAGGGGGGCACUCAAAUUGCUCAACUGCCUGAGGGGCGACUUGAGAGCUAGAAGGAUCUUUACCCAUCAUGCAGUCCUUAGGUAGUCCAUUGGUACAGGCUGCCUGGAGCAUGUGCUGAGAUGGGAAGAACUGUGCCAAGAUGGAUUAGUAAUGUCUGCAUGGCUGCCGGACUGUCAGUGAUGGUGUGUGUGUCGUGUGUUUGCCAUCUCUAGUCAGGAUAAGCUAGGUUUUGCUGCCAAAACAAAUAAACCUCCA